UUUGGACCAACAUUCAUUGACAACGAAGAAUGAGGAAAACUGUAUCAAUAACACUCCCUCAGAGGUUUCGUCGACCGUUAGUCAAAAUGAGGGAAACGAUUCUUUAUCAAGAGCGUACUUUCAUCUUGCAAGGCUCAAGAGAUUAGUGUCUGCGACCAAAGAAGUUGCUUCAUGGUAAUAAUCCUUAUAUAAGAAUAUUAAGUUCUGUAAGUAAGAGCGACUAAGCGAGCUUAUAAUAUUAUAUUCCCGUUAAAAUGCAAUGAUUAUUGAGUAAAACGUGGCUACGGGAUUCAUCUCAGGAUUGAGUACGAAUUGAUGUAAUAACUCUUUGAAGAAACAAUUUGGUGAAAAAGAACUCUUCGUAUUAAGAUUGAUUAUCAUCAUUUUACCAUCAAAA